GUCCCGUAACGAGCGCAACCCUUGUCCUUAGUUACCAGCACGUUAUGGUGGGCACUCUAAGGAGACUGCCGGUGACAACCGGAGGAAGGUGGGGAUGACGUCAAGUCAUCAUGGCCCUUACGGCCUGGGCUACACACGUGCUACAAUGGUCGGGUACAAAGGGUUGCCGAAGCCGCGAGGUGGAGCUAAUCCCAUAAAACCGAUCGUAGUCCGGAUCGCAGUCUGCAACUCGACUGCGUGAAGUCGGAAUCGCUAGUAAUCGUGAAUCAGAAUGUCACGGUGAAUACGUUCCCGGGCCUU
rnacentral:rRNA from 1 species